GAAAAUUAUUUGGUUUGUAGAGUGUUUGUGACUGAACUUGUGAGAAGUUUGACUUGUGGUUUAAGGUUGGUGAUUUUGAAUAGUGAGCUAUGAAUCUUAAAACAUGUAUAUAUUUUUUUUCUCUUUUCAGAAUGUAUAUAAGAGUAUUUAUUCUGUGAUCUCUAGGGUUGUUCAUGGACUCAACGCUACAGUCUUUGCCUAUGGUUCCACUGGAAGUGGCAAAACCUAUACAAUGGUUGGAACACGAAGUGACCCUGGAUUGAUGGUUCUCAGCUUGAAUACCGUAUUUGACAUGAUUAAGAGUGACAAGAGCUCUGAUGACUUCGAAGUGACUUGCUCCUAUCUUGAAGUCUACAAUGAAGUUAUAUACGAUCUGCUUGAAAAAUCAUCCGGUCAUUUGGAGCUCACUAGCUCAGAGAGGAUCCAGAGCAGGGAGUAGUUGUUGCAGGCAUGCGAUCAAUCAAGGUCCCAUGCAGUUCUGGAGAUUGAAGUAAAAAGAAGGCAACAUAAGCAAAAUCAAGUUAUGAGAGGGAAACUCUCCACCGCCGAAUUAGCUUUCUCCGGCGUCUCCCUGACUUCCUCCGAGCUUUGUCGGCCACCACCACACCGAACGUCUCAUAGUCUCCUUUAAAAAAAACAGAACUCUGGUUUGUCGAAUGCUCUCUAUGUCUCUUGUGUUGUUUUAGUUAAUUGGUUGUCCGAAGUCUGCUAUCUGGUUGGGAUUAGAUGAGAAAACGUGUUAGUUUGUUUAAGCAGUUGAUUGCCAUGUUCAUCUACUUCAAAUGCUCACGGAAGAAAAUGGAUACUUUCUCAGUUGAAUUAGACCAAAUCGACUCUUGUGUUGUGCCUCUCAACUUUCUUCUGGUUUUGACUUCAACAGAUGUGUUUACAUGUGUCUUUCAGAAUUCAAGACGAGAGAGAUGGAAGCGAGAACCGAGCUGAAGCAGAAGUUUUACGAGAUCUUCGAAGAGUUUAUGACCGGGUAAGUUUGUUUAAGUCACAGAGACACAUAUAUUAUUUGCUUUUCAAGUAUGUUGUGUUUCGUCUCUCUGAAUCUUAUGUAUUGCAAUGGAAGUAUGCCUUGAACAUGGAAGAACUUGGGUUAUUGCAACGGAUUCCGAAACAUUUCUAAUUUGACUAUGCUGAAAAAACUUACAAGAGACUGAGGAAUGGGGGAGUACAAGGUUAAGAUGAAGGAUGAUAUUUUCAGAUGCCCUUUUUGCUCUGGGAAGAAGAAGCAACACUACAAAUUGAAUGA